GUGCGAGGUCGGCCGCGCGCCUAUAAAACACCUCGUCCCGUGCCUCCAUCAGGCAUCCAAGCUCAAAGCAAGCAGAUCUAAGCUCCAGGCAGCGUCGCGACAGAGUGAGCUAGUGAGUAGCACGACAACAACAAUGGCUUCCCUGAAGGCCGCGAAGCCCAGCGGAGUUGCGGCGCAGGGCAAGGAGCCGGCGCCCAAGCUCAGCGAGACGGCGACGAAGCCGUCAGCCGCGAAGAGCGGCGGCGUUAAGAAGGCUGAGCAGAAGCCCCGGGAAACCAAAAGGAAGGUGAAGAGCAGCAAACAGGCGGCGGCGGCCAAAAAGUGACGUACAGUACGUGUGGAGUGUAAUGGAGCUUCCAUGCAUGAGUGAAUCCAUGCCAUGUUAUGAAUCUAGUCCUUCCUUUCUUGUAUCUUCCAUGUGACGCGGCGUGUGCGUCCCCUCAUGUGUGAUGAUGCCAGAUGAAUACUACAAAUAAGACGUUGUUGUGACUGUGUGCCA